rnacentral:ncRNA from 1 species
AACAACAGGGGAGCUUGUAUGAGCAGGCUGAGAGGAAGUCAUCAACUUCGACCCUUUAACCUGAUGCGGAUAAUGCCGCCGUAGGGAGUCAUGAAA